AGAACCCUAAGCACAAGGAACUGAGAGUGCCUAACUUACAAAAAAAGGUCAACAACCAAGUGCCAGUUCCUGAAGUGCAGAGGUGCUGGGAUCGCUUCCUGCUGCUGCAGUCAGAUAAGAAUGGAAAUAUUCAUCGCCGCAGGUUUAUAAAGGAUGAUAUUUUCAGUAGACAGCCCCGGCACCACAGAGAUAACACGGACA